UAGUCUUAAAUGGAAAAAACUUUUAACUAACAUCAGCCACUUCCUUAAUGACAUCAUCCAGGAAGUGACAUCACUUUGGAGGGAACUGAUGAAAUCAACAGCACAAACUUUAAUUGAUUGGCUAUGUUUGGAAUAGCAUACUACUACCAUCCUAUUUCUGCAGCAUACAGUAUGUAAAGUCAGGAUCAUUCCUGAUUCGCCGGCUCAGCCUUGAGGUGUUUCUGUCCAUCACUUGCUCACCAAUGGAUCCUCUGCAGUGAAUGGGUGCUGAUCUGAAGCAUAGAGCCGUGGUGCUCAUUUGGGCAAUUUGUGUUUAAGUCUGACUCGAGACAUUCUUAGAUCCUGUUCCUCCCUCUUCUCUCCACCGUUUCCUGUCU
ensembl:lncRNA